AGGAUUAGAUACCCGUGGUAGUCCACGCCGUAAACGAUGUCUACUAGCCGUUGGGACUCUUGAAGUCUUAGUGGCGCAGCUAACGCACUAAGUAGACCGCCUGGGGAGUACGGCCGCAAGGUUAAAACUCAAAUGAAUUGACGGGGGCCCGCACAAGCGGUGGAGCAUGUGGUUUAAUUCGACGCAACGCGAAGAACCUUACCUGGCCUUGACAUGCAGAGAACUUUCCAGAGAUGGAUUGGU
rnacentral:rRNA from 1 species